GACGAACGCUGGCGGCGUGCUUAACACAUGCAAGUCGAGCGGUAAGGCCCUUUCGGAGGUACACGAGCGGCGAACGGGUGAGUAACACGUGGGUGACCUGCCCUCAGCUCUGGGAUAAGCCUGGGAAACCGGGUCUAAUACCGGAUAUGACUCCAUGACGCAUGUUGUGGGGUGGAAAGCCUUGUGCGGCUGAGGAUGGGCCCGCGGCCUAUCAGCUUGUUGGUGGGGUGANGGCCUACCAAGGCGACGACGGGUAGCCGGCCUGAGAGGGCGACCGGCCACACUGGGACUGAGACACGGCCCAGACUCCUACGGGAGGCAGCAGUGGGGAAUCUUGCGCAAUGGGCGAAAGCCUGACGCAGCGACGCCGCGUGAGGGAUGACGGCCU
rnacentral:rRNA from 1 species